rnacentral:rRNA from 1 species
GACGAAAAAGGAUAAACGUCAUUCAUAUUGAAUGGGUGUAAAGUGUAUGUAGACGGCAUCAUAUAUUUAAUUUUUAACCCCUCGUGAGAGGGUAUAUUUUUAUUUUUUAAAUGAUUGCUAGAGUGAAAUUGAGGAAAGAGGAAUUUCAAAUGAAAGGAUGAAUCUAUUGAUAUUUGAAGGAACUCUAAAAGCGAAGGCUUCUUUCCAAGUAAUCACUGACGUUUGAGAUACGAAAGUUUGGGUAGCAAAGGAGU